rnacentral:tRNA from 1 species
UGCUCUAUUAGUAUAAAUGUACAUAAAAUUGCAAAUUUUAAGGUUGGUUAGAGCUA